UUGCAAUAGCGAUAGUAGCGGUUAUCCUUUUUCCAAAGCGAGGGGAAAAGCCAAGGCUGGGAAAAGAUAGUAGAGGAUAGCGCGACCCAAG
rnacentral:sRNA from 1 species